UCAUGGGUUUUUGUCAUCAGGUUAUCCAGCCAUUCUUCUACCUAUCGACGCAGAAACUAUGAUUACUAGAAGCUAUUGGUGGGUGAUUAGAAAGAUUCUGAUUUACUGCUUUUUUCCCUUUGUGACCUUUUCCCGUCCCACUAAAACAGUGUGAGAUCCUGAAGCCUGAAGCCAACCCCACAGCCCACAGUUGAAGCCUUUUCCACCAAACAAGAUGACAAAGCUGAACCACCAAACUCUACCUAGGAGAACCGAUUACAUGCGGAUGAGAUAUUUAAGUUUGUUUCAAAACUUUCCAUGUCCGCUUGUAACCAAAAUACUGCCAAGUUCCUACCCGUUAAAAACCUUAUCCAGUUGGCCUUGGCUGUAAUGCUGUCUGUCUUUCAGUUUACCUUUUCUUUCCUUGGAUCAGAUUCCGAAACCUUAGUUUGGUUGCGUGUAGUUCCGUAUGUAUGAAUUAUUCAAUUUCUGUCAAACGCUCUCUUGCAUUGGUUUUACUUUCAGCUUGCUUAAACCUCACACUUACAGGUUUCCGUAUCCCAAACUAUUACCUGAAUAGUCUCUCAAGAGUUGUUACAGAUCUUAUGCAGGGAAAGAGAUGAGUGAGAAUAUCAGUUACUGUCAACGAACCAUUUUGGGCAUUAACAUCAAUCUGUUAUCCCUUUUGGUCCACUUGAAAGGUAUAGAAACUUCUUCUCUCUAUGUUAUAUGUCUUUGCACAUAUGCGUGUUUGCCAGGAGUUAAAAGACAGGUUGCUAUAUCUGGAAGAAGAGACCAAUCUUUUGGCCAUUUGAUUGUCGGUAACUUCAUCUCUCCGCGUGAAUGACUACGCCAAAGACGGUUCGGUUUGGUGGCUAUGACUGUCUGGUUUCCCUGUCUGAGCCACCUCUUCAUUUCUUGAAUGUUGAAUUGAAUGAUGAGUAUACUUUAGAUUGGUAGAAGAAAAUUAUUUUAUCUCAACUUUUUUAAGAAAAUUAUAUGAAUCAAUUUCUUUUGUAAAACUA